AGUAUGAUGCCUGAAUAAAGGACUAUUUUGAUAGAAUAGAUAAUGCAUGAAUAUGCUCUUACU
rnacentral:tRNA from 1 species